CUUGCUACUGUUUUUGCAGACAUCUUAAGUUUAAAUAUAAGUAUAUUGUUGCCAACUCAAUAGUUUGUCUCUUUAUACAAAUGCAAUGUUUAUAAUGUUGGCAUCAUUGAUUACGUUGUACGUAGGAAAAAAUUCAAACAUAUGAAUCUACAACAUCGUCUCAAUCAAAAGAAAUAUCAAGUUUAGAUUCAUUGGCUCAUGUUUUAGGAAGCCAAGAGCAUUGUGGACGUGUUCGCGGUCUAGGUUUGGGUCCUUACCCGUCUAAAGUCUUUGGAGUCCAUGCUCGUUCUCAUAUUGGAUCAUCUUCAUCUACUCCUUCUAAUGUUGAAUUACAAUCUCAGGUAUCUUCAUUGACUUCUUCUAAUGUUAAAUUAGAAUCUCAGGUAUCUUCAUUGACAUCACAAGUCAAUGAAAUGAAGGCAAUCAUGACACUUUUGUUGCAAAAUCAUCAAGGUCCAUUGCCUUCA